UACGGAGGGUGCAAGCGUUAUCCGGAUUCACUGGGUUUAAAGGGUGCGUAGGAGGGCAGGUAAGUCAGUGGUGAAAUCUCCGAGCUUAACUUGGAACUGCCGUUGAUACUAUCUGCCUUGAAUAUUGAUGGAGGUGAGCGGAAUAUGUCAUGUAGCGGUGAAAUGCUUAGAUAUGACAUAGAACACCAAUUGCGAAGCAGCUCGCUACACAUAUAUUUGGACUCUGAGGCACGAAAGCGUGGGGAUCAAACAGG
rnacentral:rRNA from 1 species